rnacentral:rRNA from 1 species
UACGAGAGGCCCAAACGUUAAUCGGAAUUACUGGGCUUAAAGAGUUCGUAGGCGGCGCAGAAAGUAGGGUGUGAAAGCCCUCGGCUCAACCGAGGAAUUGCGCUCUAAACUACUGUGCUCGAGGAACCUAGAGGUGAGCAGAACUGAUGGUGGAGCGGUGAAAUGCGUUGAUAUCAUCAGGAAUACCGGAGGCGAAGGCGGCUCACUGGGGGUUUUCUGACGCUGAGGAACGAAAGCCAGGGGAGCGAACGGG